GUUGCGUUUCGUUCAGUAACAUUACGUUAGCUUCGUUCAGUUUUGUCAGGAUUUUUAAUACAACUGGCUAAGUUUAUCCUUUUCACUAGGAACCGAAGAAGUUGAAGAUUAUUGAAGAAGUUAAUUUUGUGAAGAAGUUAAGUUUGUGCAUUUUUAUGUUGUGUCUAUUAUAUUGUGCGCUGUUAUGUUGCAUAUCUGAGUAUCUUUCUUACCGAGAUACAGGCAACAGCGAAAAAGUGGACAGCUAUGAGAUUGUCACAAAUGCUAGAACGAAACAAGAGGGGAGAUUGAUGGCCCUGCACGGAAUCAGCAUCGCAAAGUACGAGAUUUAGCAGGAAAAUCUAAGAUACAACGAUAGGUGAAUUUUACCAGUGCGCAUACAUGUACGCGAUCUGUCAAAGUCUGGAUUCCAGAUGCUUACGACGGCGUCAAGUACAGUAUAGCUUAUUAUUUCUCAAUAUUGUCACGAAUUGCAUUAUCCUAAAAAAUAUCCAGGCAAAUUUGAUUGAUUGCACGAUUACGUACUCGGUUGUAGAGAGAGGCUCUUGUUGUCUCUCCAGCCACAGGCAAAGAAACAAAAGUGUCCAUCGUGUCUCAAGUGUUUAGGUCUACAGCGACUUUAUGACAAUCGACUCGUGGAGCGAUAGCGAUUAUUGAUGGGAACGUGAUGGCCAUUAACCCUGGCCAGAAAGCUAAAAUACAAAUGUCGCCUUUAUUGCCCUUCGCAAUAGAGUCACUAUAAUAAGAGUCGAGACAUCAGCGAUUCGCCUUGGGAUUUGGUCAGCGCCAUGUCCAGGACCGUGCGAUGUGUUAGUGAAAACGUGAGUUUGAUAACGUACUCUGUACGUGUAAGUUGUGUAAACGACGUCCCAGCAAUCGCGUCCUUCCGAUCUGAUGACUCUUAUUAUAGUGAUUCUAACUUCAUAACGAUCCACAAGGCGUCCGAGUAUACGCGGCUGUAGACUUGCCCGAUCUCUAUACUCUUGGCACCGUCGUCAUCGAUUGCAGGAGCGUUUCUCGUAUUUCUUAUGAUUUUCUCAUUGGUGUAGUCUUAUUUAAUUUUUGUCGUAAAUUUUCUUGUAGAAGCUAGAAAGAAUCAAAGGAGAUUGGAGAGUGUUCUCUUCUCUGAUUGAUUCCGCCAUUUAUAAUGCACUUCCGCAAAUGUGUAUGUGUGUGUGUAGGUACAUAUAUGUCAUACAUACUAGUGUGGUACAAUACUAGUGUGUGCAGCACCGUAUGUUCCAUCACGCUCCUAUUCACUUCAACAAUGCACUAAAAAUGACGGCUUCCAGGUGAGUCCGCUUCACUCUCCCUCGAUUCUCUCUGGUAGAGGCCAUCGCAUCACCGCGCAAUCCAUUAUGAGCCAUUCCAUACAAAUUUGCAUAGCCGCAUAAACAUAUGCAUAAAGAAAAUCAUCCAAUCGUAUGUUAUUUUGUCUUUAUGAUAGAAAUGUGAUUGGAUAAUUUUCUUUAUGCUUAUGAUUAUGCGGCUGUGCAAGUUUAUGUGGAAUGGUCCUUAUACUGGAUAUAUUACAAUGUAAAUACCUCUACAGCACAAAGUUGCACAAAAGUUGCAGCGACACUGCUACAAUAUUGCUGCAACGUUACAUGUUGCAGUAAUAUUGCAGAAAUUUUGCAGUGAUAUUGCUGCAAAUUUUGUGCUGUAUGAGUAAGAACAAUCAAUACUCUAUAGGUCGAUAGAUUACAAAAGAAAAUGAACGAGAUCUACAUAAUGGACAAAUCAGGCGUAAGCUCGGGUGUAGCCGCCCAGCAUGAUGUUGAAUAUGUUCAGUGUUAUCAAUGGCAUUCUCUUUAUGUGUGUAUAUAUAUAUAUAUAUAUAUGCUGGGUGGACCAUUUCAAUUUAUCCAGGACCAUUUUAAUUGUCGAUUUUCUCAAAAUCUGUAAAGAUGUAUUUACAAGCGUCAAAUAACAGAAGCAGCAAUCAAUCAGCUGGGCGAUACGGGCAGUGGUGUAAAAAAUAUUUUUUCAAUGGGUUUCAGAAUACAGUUUGUUCACCGAGCGAUUGGUUCUUACUUAUGGAUCUAAUCAUUUAUGUUCAAUCGAUCUAACCAUUUAUGUUCAACUGCUGAACAAGGUUGAAUUUCGAAACCCAUCGAAAAAAAAUGUUGCAACUUUUUUAUGACCAGCUGUAUAACAAGGAUAUGAGCAUGCGACGCGAACAAACCUAUGGAAAUAGAUAUUUGCAGGAUUGGAUAAAUUAACUUUUUUUUUUAACUACAUUAAGUUAAAGUUAACCUUGAAAAUUUAACUUAGU
rnacentral:lncRNA from 1 species